GCCUACUGUCUGUCCUUUGUUUCUAGGAGCAGGAGAAGGAGGCCCGGAGCAGGGCAGCUUAUAUCUCUACACUCCCUGCCCCUCCACACUGGGGUAGGGGCUUCGAUGAAGACAAAGAUGAGGAUGAAGGCUCACCAGGGGGCUGCAACCCUGCAGGUGGCAAUGGUGACUUCCACAGACUGGUCUUCUAAUGGGAGUUCCCACUUGUUGGGGCUAUCACAGCCAACCUCAGAGUGGGCCAGGUGGAGCUCAGGGCCCAGGCAUGUGGAUGGAAGGCAGCAUAGCACAGGAUCAGAGACAAGAAUCUUACCACAUGCCCCUCCCCUACCCCAAGUGACACUGUGGGAGAGCCCCUUGUCCUCCCUAGCCUGCCUCAGUGCCUGAGAUGCUGCCAUUGCAUCCCUGUCUAGUUAAGGUCCAGAGUCCUUAUUUUACUGAAGACAUUAGUCUGUCAGAAAGCCAUUGUCUCAUCUGAGGAAGCUAGCUGGCUUGGCUCCUCUGAUGGAAUGUGAGGGCUGGGUAGGUAUGAACUGUGUAUAAUGCACCUGACCUCAUCGUGCCCUGAGACUACUAUAGCC
rnacentral:lncRNA from 1 species